AACGUAGGUGGCGAGCGUUAUCCGGAUUUACUGGGCGUAAAGCGUGUGCAGGCGGGGAGACAAGUGGGGUAUGAAAUUUCCCGGCUUAACCGGGAAGGGUUAUGCCAGACUGUCUUUCUGGAGUGCGAGAGAGGGGCGUGGAAUUCCGGGUGUAGUGGUGAAUGCGUAGAGAUCCGGAGGAACCCCAGAGGCGAAGGCGGCGCCCUGGCUCGCAACUGACGCUCAGACACGACAGCAUGGGGAGCGAACGGG
rnacentral:rRNA from 1 species